rnacentral:rRNA from 1 species
GUUGAGGAAGAUAAUGACGGUACUCAACAAGGAAGUGACGGCUAACUACGUGCCAGCAGCCGCGGUAAAACGUAGGUCACAAGCGUUGUCCGGAAUUACUGGGUGUAAAGGGAGCGCAGGCGGGAGAACAAGUUGGAAGUGAAAUCCAUGGGCUCAACCCAUGAACUGCUUUCAAAACUGUUUUUCUUGAGUAGUGCAGAGGUAGGCGGAAUUCCCGGUGUAGCGGUGGAAUGCGUAGAUAUCGGGAGGAACACCAGUGGCGAAGGCGGCCUACUGGGCACCAACUGACGCUGAGGCUCGAAAGUGUGGGUAGCAAACAGGAUUAGAUACCCUGGUAGUCCACACCGUAAACGAUGAUUACUAGGUGUUGGAGGAUUGACCCCUUCAGUGCCGCAGUUAACACAAUAAGUAAUCCACCUGGGGAGUACGACCGCAAGGUUGAAACUCAAAGGAAUUGACGGGGGCCCGCACAAGCAGUGGAGUAUGUGGUUUAAUUCGACGCAACGCGAAGAACCUUACCAAGUCUUGACAUCCUGCGACGCACAUAGAAAUAUGUGUUUYCUUCGGAACGCAGAGACAGGUGGUGCAUGGUUGUCGUCAGCUCGUGUCGUGAGAUGUUGGGUUAAGUCCCGCAACGAGCGCAACCCUUAUGGUCAGUUACUACGCAAGAGGACUCUGGCCGGACUGC